CCUACGGGGGGCAGCAGUGGGGAAUAUUGGACAAUGGGGGCAACCCUGAUCCAGCCAUGCCGCGUGUGUGAAGAAGGCCCUCGGGUUGUAAAGCACUUUCAGUGAGGAAGAACGCCUGGUGGUUAAUACCCAUCAGGAAAGACAUCACUCACAGAAGAAGCACCGGCUAACCCCGUGCCAGCAGCCGCGGUAAUACGGAGGGUGCGAGCGUUAAUCGGAAUUACUGGGCGUAAAGCGCGCGUAGGUGGCUUGAUAAGCCGGUUGUGAAAGCCCCGGGCUCAACCUGGGAACGGCAUCCGGAACUGUCAAGCUAGAGUGCAGGAGAGGAAGGUAGAAUUCCCGGUGUAGCGGUGAAAUGCGUAGAGAUCGGGAGGAAUACCAGUGGCGAAGGCGGCCUUCUGGACUGACACUGACACUGAGGUGCGAAAGCGUGGGUAGCAAACAGGAUUAGAUACCCCUGUAGUC
rnacentral:rRNA from 1 species